rnacentral:rRNA from 1 species
UACGGAGGGGACUAGCGUUGCUCGGAAUUACUGGGCGUAAAGCGCACGUAGGCGGUCUUUUAAGUCGGUGGUGAAAUCCUGGAGCUCAACUCCAGAACUGCCUUCGAUACUGGAAGACUUGAGUCCGGGAGAGGUGAGUGGAACUGCGAGUGUAGAGGUGAAAUUCGUAGAUAUUCGCAAGAACACCAGUGGCGAAGGCGGCUCACUGGCCCGGUACUGACGCUGAGGUGCGAAAGCGUGGGGAGCAAACAGG